CAACACUUCAGCACGAAGCUUCAUCCAAUCAAGAAGAUAGCCGAAGUUUCACUCGGAACUUGUCUUCAGAAUUCGAAGUCAUGGCGAACAAAACGAUCCGUGAGUUCUCAGCUCCCACUACAGACAACAUCCGUACUGGACCUGCUAUAGAGAUCGAUGGCAACUUUGAGCUCAAGCCUGGACAUAUCAACAUGGUGCAAUCC
rnacentral:lncRNA from 1 species